UGGGGAAUUUUGGACAAUGGGCGCAAGCCUGAUCCAGCCAUGCCGCGUGCGGGAAGAAGGCCUUCGGGUUGUAAACCGCUUUUGUCAGGGAAGAAAUCUUCUGAGUUAAUACCUCGGGAGGAUGACGGUACCUGAAGAAUAAGCACCGGCUAACUACGUGCCAGCAGCCGCGGUAAUACGUAGGGUGCAAGCGUUAAUCGGAAUUACUGGGCGUAAAGCGUGCGCAGGCGGUUUUGUAAGACAGAGGUGAAAUCCCCGGGCUCAACCUGGGAACUGCCUUUGUGACUGCAAGGCUUGAGUGCGGCAGAGGGGGAUGGAAUUCCGCGUGUAGCAGUGAAAUGCGUAGAUAUGCGGAGGAACACCGAUGGCGAAGGCAAUCCCCUGGGCCUGCACUGACGCCCAUGCACGAAAGCGUGGGGAGCAAACAGGAUUAGAUACCCUGGUAGUCCACGCCCUAAACGAUGUCAAACUGGUUGUUGGGAAGGUUCCUUCUCAGUAACGUAGCUAACGCGUGAAGUUGACCGCCUGGGGAGUACGGCCGCAAGGUUGAAACUCAAAGAAUUGACGGGGUCAUAGCUGUUUCCU
rnacentral:rRNA from 1 species